rnacentral:sRNA from 1 species
GUGCUCGAUCUGCUGUGGGCAGAUGAAAUGAAUGUGCGAGUCGAAACCGCCCGCGGUGAGGAUCUUGCCUUCGCCCGCGAUCACAUCGGUGCCGGGGCCGAUCACGAUAGUGACGCCAGGCUGAAUGUCCGGAUUGCCCGCCUUGCCGAUGGCGGAGAUGUAGCCUUCCUUGAUUGCGACGUCGGCCUUCACGAUGCCCCAGUGAUCCACGAUCAGUGCGUUGGUGAUGACGGUGUCCGCCGCGCCUUGCCGGUUCGUGACCUGCGACUGGCCCAUGCCGUCGCGGAUCAC